AUUGAACGCUGGCGGUAGGCCUAACACAUGCAAGUCGAACGCGAAAGUCCUUCGGAGUGAGUAGAGUGGCGGACGGGUGAGUAACGCGUAGGAAUCUAUCCUGUAGUGGGGGAGUAACGUUUCGAAAGGAACGCUAAUACCGCAUACGCCCCAAGGGGGAAAGGCGGGGGAGUCUUCGGACCUCGUGCUAUAGGAGGAGCCUGCGUCGGAUUAGCUAGUUGGUGAGGUAAAGGCUCACCAAGGCGACGAUCCGUAGCUGGUCUGAGAGGAUGAUCAGCCACACCGGAACUGAGACACGGUCCGGACUCCUACGGGAGGCAGCAGUGGGGAAUAUUGCGCAAUGGGCGAAAGCCUGACGCAGCCAUACCGCGUGUGUGAAGAAGGCC
rnacentral:rRNA from 1 species